GGAGAAAUGGCAGAGCGGUUGAAUGCACCGGUCUUGAAAACCGGCGUACCGAAAGGUAUCGGGGGUUCGAAUCCCUCUUUCUCCG
rnacentral:tRNA from 1 species